rnacentral:rRNA from 1 species
CUUGGUCAUUUAGAGGAAGUAAAAGUCGUAACAAGGUUUCCGUAGGUGAACCUGCGGAAGGAUCAUUCACAAUAAGUGUUUAUGGCACUUUUAAAAAUUCCAUACCCACCUUGUGUGCAACGUUUGAAUCUGCUCCGUGCGUCUCCCUCUUUCGAGUGGGCCGCGGGGAGUAAGAUAUCUUUAAUCAUUAAUCUGUUUUAAACCAGUUUUGUCUGAAGCAAUGUAUCAUUGAAUUGACCUAAUUCGAAAAUACAACUUUCAACAACGGAUCUCUUGGCUCUCGCAUCGAUGAAGAACGCAGCGAAAUGCGAUACGUAAUGUGAAUUGCAGAAUUCAGUGAAUCAUCGAAUCUUUGAACGCAUAUUGCGCUCUUUGGUAUUCCGAAGAGCAUGCUUGUUUGAGUAUCAGUAAACACCUCAAAGCCUUUUUUUGUUAAGAGGCCUUGGACUUGAGCAAUCCCAACACUUUUCCUCCAAGAAAAGUGGCGGGUUGCUUGAAAUGCAGGUGCAGCUGGACAUUCUCCUGAGCUAAAAGCAUAUUCAUUUAGUCCCGUCAAACGGAUUAUUACUUUUGCUGCAGCUAACAUAAAGGGAGUUUGACCAUUUUGGCUGACUGAUGCAGGAUUUUCACAAGAGUCUUCAAAAGCUUUUGUUAAACUCGAUCUCAAAUCAAGUAAGACUACCCGCUGAACUUAAGCAUAUCAAUAAGCGGAGGA